UACGUAGGGGGCAAGCGUUGUCCGGAUUCAUUGGGCGUAAAGAGCGUGUAGGCGGCCAGGUAGGUCGGUUGUGAAAACUGGAGGCUCAACCUUCAGAGGUCGACCGAAACCAUCUGGCUAGAGUCCGGGAGAGGAGAGUGGGAAUUCCUGGUGUAGCGGUGAAAAUGCGCAGAUAUCAGGAAGAACACCGAUUGCGAAGGCAGCUCGCUGGGACGUUACUGACGCUGAGACGCGAAAGCGUGGGGAGCAAACAGG
rnacentral:rRNA from 1 species